rnacentral:lncRNA from 1 species
AAAAAAAGAACUUGCAGGCUGAGGUGUUAUCAUGGAAUUUAGAUCACUGUAAAAUUCAUCUCUCUCGACUUUUUAUUUCUGCUUUUCUUCUUUUAAGUAAUUUAACAUGGAAUUUUGGUGAUUCGAAAGUUGUAUGUUUUGGUUUUAGAACAUUUUUCCAGAACCUUUCUGGAAUUCAGCACUAGGGUUUUUAUACAAAUUAUUCCAAACAUGAAUUAUUGAAUCCCAAAAGCGCUUGUUCUUUCAAUAAUUUUUGUUUCCCAUCAAUCUCUUCCACUGAUAAAAUAAAGAUUUAUACCCUCUGAAGAUGACUUCAGUUAACUUUCUGAUACAGUAAACGAGUGGUGCGACCAGAAGCAUCGGAGCUUCCCUUUGAGAUUAUCGUUGAGAUUUUGAGCUGGUUGCCUGUAGAGUCUUUGGUAGGUUCAAGUGUCUGUGCAAGUUAUGGUGUUUGUUGAUUGGUCAGGACUAUGAGUUUAUCGCAAAACAUGAGAGCCUGGCCUGUUACGAGCGGCUUCCUACCGAUUAUAAUUUCAACAUUGAAAGCCGUUAUGCUGGCUUAUUUCAGGAGAAGAGUGGUUCUUCUCAAGUUUGUCGGAUCAGAAACCCUGCAACCCGACAAGUACUUUACUUGCCAGAUGCACAUGAGGGUGUCGUACAAAUGGACAUCAUUUUCAAUUCACUCACUCAUGAAUGUAAAGUGGUAUGUGUUCAUUAUCUCGAUCGAGAAGCAAUGCACUUAGGAUUUGAAGUCCUAACGGUAGGGAAGGAUGACAAAAUAUCCUUGAAACAACCAAACCAAAACUUUUGGGAACAUGACAGACUGGUGGUGGAACAACAUUUUUCACUUCAGAUAAGGAUGGAGGGAUUGUUCAUUUACCUGAAAUUCUAACAGAUGGACAUGAUUUGUACCUAGAAGUUCAUUCUCUUGAUUUGUAUGAAAACAAAACGUUGCAGCUUAUGUAACUAAAAGGUUUCAAACUGCUCCUAAAGAGAGUAAUAAAGCAAGAUUGUCUAACAUGAACAUGAAGUAAACAAGAUUCUCUAAGAUGACAUCAUAUCGCUUUCUGGUCUCAUUCCCUUCAAACUCAUCAGGCUUGGCAUAUACAUAGCAAAACUGCGAAACAUAUUUUCUCGAGUUUGUCGCGUCAUGUGGAAACAUAGCUAGAAGCUCUUAAUGUUUUGGUGACCAAAACUUGUAGGAGUGGUUGAAUUUUCUCUAGUUCACAUCAAAACUGUGUAUUUGAUUCAUGACUAGCGUAACAGUGACCGAGGGUCUACUUCGUACUUUUCUUCUAUGUCUGAUUGGGAUUUGUUAAUUUUGUUUUGUCAUUCUAGCUUUGAAUUAAUCCCAUGUCCAAUACGAUGGGACAAUGUGUUGCUACCUAUUGGAAGUAGGGUUCAAUGUUGGAAGAAUAUUGGAAGAAUAAUGCAAGAAGGGUCUGUAGGGUUCAAAGGGUCCGUAGGGUUCAAUGAUAAUGCAUCCAUUUGUUUAAGUUCUUUGAUAGAUAACAGCUCAUCCUAGUGCUAUGUUAGCUGGUUGUUAUUCCUCCAGCUUUGUAAAGCUAAUUAAUAGUUUAAGUUAGAGAGAGUGGAAGGCACAAUGAUGCUUUGUUUAGCUGUCAGGAAGGUCAUAAUGAUGCUGCGAUUGCUGCCAUUAUUCUCUUCCUUUCCGCUCCACCCUCCUGCUUGUUUUUCUUUUCAUAUAUAUGCUGUCCUUGUAGCUGGUUCUUCCUUAUGAAAAUUACAUCAUAAAUUCAUCAUGGUAUCAGAGCGGGCAUCAUCCUGAGCCAGUUCUGUAUAUUGAAACUGCUGUGUUUAUUUUUUUUUUUUCAAAAACAAUGGCAGAUGGAAGUAUCAUUGCUUCUCCAUCUGUAAGCGCUUCUGAAAUGGAUAUCAAUCCAAACCAACGACUCAGUUCAGUAUUAUUGAAUGAGUUUAAUUAUUUGCCAUGGGCAAGGGCUGUUAGUCUUGCUCUCGGUGGAAGAUCCAAACUUGGUUUCAUCAAUGGCAGCCAACCUGCACCAAAUGCUUCUUCUCCAGAAUAUGGAGGGUGGCUAUGUAAAGAUCAACUGGUCAUGUCAUGGUUGUUAAAUUCUAUGGAAAGGAAUAUUGCUGAAAUCUUCAGCUAUUCCGAGUCAUCUCUCAUCCUUUGGACCACCGUGAAGGAGAUGUAUGGCAAUCAAAACAAUGCAGCUCGCAUCUUUCAACUCAAGAAGGAUAUCUCCAACAUACAGCAAGAAGGUAAAAGCUUUGUCCAACAUCUUGGUUCUUUGAGAAGCAUGUGGAAUGAGUUAGAUGUGUACAGACCUCACACAACUGAUCUCUCUGUGCUCCUUAAAAGAACUGAAGAAGAUAAAAUUUUUCAAUUAUUGUCUAGCUUGAGCUCAGAAUAUGAGGAUUUGAGAAGUCACAUUCUCAUGAACUCGGAGCUACCAUCCUUCACUAGUAUCUGUGCAACUAUCCAACGUGAGGAAGUAAGGAGAAAAGUCAUGAACAAUGGUAUAAAAACCAACGUGACAGAAGCUAGGGCUUACCUGACAAAUGAAAAAAGAUAUAAAGGGAAAAAUCCUCAUUUAAAGUGCCUACAUUGUGACAACAUCGGGCAUGUGAGAGACAAGUGCUGGAUCCUACAUCCAGAACUCAAACCUGACUUCAUGAAGGAUAAAUCCGCACCAAAGACAAGUCGAGCACACCCUCGUGCCAACACUGCAACAUCUUCAUCUAUCAACAAUGUUGAUACCUAUCAACAGUUCACUGCAAAUCCUGCCACCCUUUUAAAUGAGUUCGCAGCGUAUCUUCAACAAAAGAAAGGAAAAGAGGAUGGAUCGGUUGAUCAUAAAGAUGGAAGUACUACUGCAUUGAUGGGCAAAUUUGCAGGUUUUUUAGCUGAUGCCGAUUAUGUACCUCAGACAGACUUGAAAGGUAUCGUAACUGCUUUCCAAACUGCUCUUAAAAUAAAUGAGUUACAUGAUUUUUGGGUUGUAGAUUCUGGUGCCACAGACCAUAUGACUAAUCAAUUGUCAAAGUUACAUAGAUUUGAGAAACUACAUAAUCAUUCACAUGUAUCUGUUGCUAAUGGUGAAGGUGCUAGGAUUGUAGGAAAGGGAAAAAUCCACCUGAUAUCUGAUCAAAUAGAGUCUAUGGCCCUAUAUGUCCCAUCAUUUCCAUUUCAACUUCUCUCUCAGUGGGAAGAAUCACAAAUUCCUUAAAUUGUUUGGCCAUUUUUUUCACCAAAAACUGUCAUUUUUCAGGAUUGUAUAACCAAGAGGACGAUUGGUGAGGGGUUUUACCUUGAUGGUCUCUAUUACAUAUCAAAAAGCUCUUCCUGUGGAUUUCAUGCCAAGUCAAAGUCCAUCCAUACCUCCAUUCAAGCUUUCUCUUUGUGGCACCAACGUCUAGCUCAUCCAUCUCAACCUAUCUUAUCCACCUUAUUUCCUGACUUAGGCAAAGAAUCAACCCACUGUGAAACUUGCCAUUUGUCAAAGGCAACAAGACUACCUCUAGGGUCUUCGAUGUCUAGAGUUUCUCACUUUUUUGAGCUUGUACACUCUGAUAUAUGGGGACCAACAAGUGAAUCUUUUGAUGGUUAUAAAUAUUUCAUAACUUUUGUUGAUGAUUAUUCAAGAGCCACCUGGUUAUAUUUGUUAAAAUCAAAAAGUGAGGUGAUGGAAGUGUUUAAGGACUUUCACAAUCUUGUCAAAAAUCAUUUUUCUUCUCAAAUCAAAAACCCUAAGGUCUGAUAAUGGCACAGAAUACAUGUCCCAAGUCAUGACUCAAUAUUUUGAGCAACAAUGGCAUCAUACAUCAAACUAGCUGUGUUGGCACACCCCAACAAAAUGGUGUUGCCGAGAGAAAAAACCGAGAUCUCCUUGAAAAAACUAGGGCAUUGAUGUUACAAAUGAAUGUACCAAAACGUUUUUGGUCUCAAAGCGUCAUGACAGCAGCUUACCUGAUCAACAGGUUACCUAGUAGGGUUUUGGGGUUCAAAUCCCCAAUGGAGAUAAUCAAGAACAGAAAGGUGGACUUAUCUCACCUUAAAGUCUUUGGAUGCAUCUGUUUUGUUCAUGUUCAGUCAUUACAUCGAGACAAACUUGAUCCUAGGGCAACUAAAUGCAUUUUCCUUGGCUACUCGUCCACACAAAAAGGGUAUAAGUGUUAUUAUAAUCCACAACUUAAGAGAUUAAUUGUUUCAAGGGAUGUUCAAUUUCAUGAAACUAACUCUUAUUACAGUAAGUCUCUGGAUAGUACAAGUCAGGGGGAGAUUAUCUUGGACAGUUUUCCACUGCCAAGGACUGAGAUAUUCAACAAUGCGGGUGAUCAACCUCACACAAUGGAUCUUGUGGCUCCAAAUCAACCGAAUUCAUAUGACGACAGCAACAUGCCUGUAGAAGAUGAAACUCUACGUGGUAUUGAUCCUGAAGAACCUUCAGAAGAGUCUCCUCCUACCAUACCUCGACGAAAUCCAACUCGUGAGAGACACCCCACCAGCAAGACUGCAAGACUUUGUUACGUACAAGCUCAAGCACCCCUUAUCCAACUACUGUUCUUACCAAAGGUUGUCUCCUAAUUACACUGCCUAUUUGAGUAAUAUAUCUGCGCAUGAAGAGCCUCAAUCAUUUCAAGAAGCCAACCAAUCCCAAGUGUGGCAGCAAGCAAUGCAGGAUGAACUGCAUGCACUCGAUCAACAUAAAACCUGGAGCAUUGUGCCACUGCCCAAAGGAAAGAAGAUAGUAGGCUGCAGAUGGAUAUACAAGAUUAAAUUCAACUCGGAUGGGUCUAUUGAAAGACACAAGGCACGAUUAGUGGCCCGUGGCUUCACUCAAACAUUUGAUGUGGAUUACAAGGAAACCUUUGCUCCCGUUGCUAAGAUGAACACAGUGCGUGUACUCUUGUCUGUGGCUGUCAACAAAGGAUGGCCUAUGUAUCAAAUGGAUGUAAAAAACGCCUUCUUACAUGGUGAGCUUGAAGAAGACGUCUACAUGAGAAUUACCACCGGGUCACUCUCAAAGUCAUAAACAGGAUGUUGUGUGUAAACUACACAAAUCAAUUUAUGGUCUUAAACAAUCACCGAGAGCCUGGUAUGCUAAGCUCAGUUCUGUUCUUAUCAGUGUUGGUUUUGGAAGAAGCAAUGCGGACUCCUCUUUAUUUGUACGUUCAGGCACCGCUGGUACAUUAGUUGUUCUUGUGUAUGUUGAUGACUUGAUCAUCACCGGAGAUAACCCUGAAGAAAUCAAAGAACUCAAGCACUUCCUUCAGCAGCGCUUUGCAAUAAAAGAUCUUGGUGUUCUGAGAUACUUCCUUGGCAUCGAAAUGGCUACCUCUCACAAGGGCUUCUUCCUUAACCAGCGCAAAUAUGUUCUGGAUCUCCUUAAGGAAUCAAAUAUGAGUGAUGCUAAACCGGUUCCUACACCUCUCGACAUUAAACUUAAGGUCAGCUUAGAGGGUCAAUCUCUUCCAAACAUAAGUUAUUAUCAGCGGUUGGUUGGUAAGUUGAUAUACCUAACCAUCACAAGGCCCGACAUUACCUAUGCUGUCAGUAUUGUUAGCCAAUUUAUGCACUCUCCCACGAUGGAGCACUUUAACCUAGUCAAAAGGAUACUUCGGUAUCUAAAAGGUUCUGUGGGACGUGGUAUAAUCAUGAAGAAAAAUGCAAACACUCAGAUUACAGGUUAUUGUGAUGCAGAUUGGGCUGGCAAUUCCAUUGAUCGUAAGUCUACAACGGGAUUUUGCACGUUUGUGGGAGGCAACCUUGUCUCAUGGAAAAGCAAAAAACAAACUGUUGUUGCAAGAUCCAGUGCUGAGGCAGAAUAUCGGGCAAUGGCAUCUACCGCGUGUGAACUAAUCUGGCUCAAAGGUUUACUGUGUGACUUAGGUGUUUUCAAUCAUCAAUCCAUGUCCCUUUUCUGUGACAAUCAGGCUGCAAUGCACAUUGCUUCCAACCCAGUUUUUCACGAGAGAACCAAGCACAUUGAAGUCGAUUGUCACUAUGUUCGUACACAAGUUCAAUCUCAGGUUAUCCAAACGCAUUUUGUAAGGAGCUCGGAUCAACUUGCGGACCUAUUCACAAAAUCAUUGGCCUCUCAUCAGUUUCAACUUCUUCUUGGCAAGCUUGGAUCCAUCAAUCUUCUGGAUCCAGCUUGAGGGGGAGUAUUGGAAGUAGGGUUCAAUGUUGGAAGAAUAUUGGAAGAAUAAUGCAAGAAGGGUCUGUAGGGUUCAAAGGGUCCGUAGGGUUCAAUGAUAAUGCAUCCAUUUGUUUAAGUUCUUUGAUAGAUAACAGCUCAUCCUAGUGCUAUGUUAGCUGGUUGUUAUUCCUCCAGCUUUGUAAAGCUAAUUAAUAGUUUAAGUUAGAGAGAGUGGAAGGCACAAUGAUGCUUUGUUUAGCUGUCAGGAAGGUCAUAAUGAUGCUGCGAUUGCUGCCAUUAUUCUCUUCCUUUCCGCUCCACCCUCCUGCUUGUUUUUCUUUUCAUAUAUAUGCUGUCCUUGUAGCUGGUUCUUCCUUAUGAAAAUUACAUCAUAAAUUCAUCACUACCGAAGAAGAAGAGGUGCCGAAGCAAUGAUUACCAGAGCUUCCCUUCGAUACUAUCACUCGAUUUUGUUGUGGCUGCCUGUGGUGUCUUUGAAGAGCAAUUUGGGUUUGAACCUUUUUGUUAUGCCAAUUGCUACAUCGAUGCAAAAAAAAAAAAUUGUCUUCUGAACAUGAACGUGUCGUACAAAUAGAUGCUGUUUUCAGUUCAGUCACUCGUGAGUGUAAUGAUGUGACAUGUGUUUGUGAUCUCGACCGGGAGGCAGGGCGCUUAUAACAGUUGGGAAGGAUGUCAAUUGGAGAUGCUUGAAACAUCCAAACCAGAAUUUGUUAAAACAGGGCAAACUGGUGGUGGAUCAAGCAGAAUUUUGUUCAUG